rnacentral:lncRNA from 1 species
CUUAAGAUUAAGAUAAUCUUCAGAGUUCAUCUGGAUUUAUGCUGAAAUCAAUGGCUUCCUGGAGUGAGCCGAAUUUUACUAAGAUUUAAUGGGUUUAUCUUUGUUCACGCAAAUGCAGAGUCUCGAGUUUUUCAAUCUUGAUUGAUUCUUUGAAUUAAAGUUUGUAUGUGACGUUUAUAUUAUUAGGUUCCUAAAUGUGCAUUAAUACAGAGGGGGUAUGAUGAUACGGAGUGAUAUUUUUCAAUGUUUCACUAUUUUUUUGUAGAUACAAUCUGAAAGAAGUCGAAUAUUUCAGCUGCGUUCUUCUUUAAAAUUAUUGUCAUUUUUCUUGGAGGUAUUUGUGUCUUGUAUGUUCCAUGUCUAUCCCUUGGUACAAUCUCAAGGACGAAUUAUUUCUGUUUGUAAGCAUCAUUCACCCAUGUGCUCGUGCACAUGACAGAUGCUUGUCAAUGUCUG